CCGACGGGUGAGUAACACGUAUCCAACCUGCCGUCUACUCUUGGACAGCCUUCUGAAAGGAAAGAAUUAAUACAAGAUGGCAUCAUGAGUCCGCAUGUUCACAUGAUUAAAGGUAUUCCGGUAGACGAUGGGGAUGCGUUCCAUUAGAUAGUAGGCGGGGUAACGGCCCACCUAGUCAACGAUGGAUAGGGGUUCUGAGAGGAAGGUCCCCCACAUUGGAACUGAGACACGGUCCAA
rnacentral:rRNA from 1 species